rnacentral:rRNA from 1 species
UACAGAGGGGGCAAGCGUUGUUCGGAAUUACUGGGCGUAAAGGGCGCGUAGGCGGCCUGUUAAGUCGGACGUGAAAUCCCCGGGCUCAACCGGGGAACUGCGUCUGAUACUGGGUGGCUUGAAUUCGGGAGAGGGAUGCGGAAUUCCAGGUGUAGCGGUGAAAUGCGUAGAUAUCUGGAGGAACACCGGUGGCGAAGGCGGCAUCCUGGACCGAGAUUGACGCUGAGGCGCGAAAGCCAGGGGAGCAAACGGG